rnacentral:rRNA from 1 species
UACGUAGGGUGCGAGCGUUUAAUCGGAAUUACUGGGCGUAAAGCGUGCGCAGGCGGUUUUGUAAGCCAGAUGUGAAAUCCCCGGGCUUAACCUGGGAAUGGCAUUUGGGACUGCAAGGCUUGAGUGCGGCAGAGGAGACUGGAAUUCCUGGUGUAGCAGUGAAAUGCGUAGAUAUCAGGAGGAACACCGAUGGCGAAAGGCAGGUCGUCCU